UAUCCCUUCGAGGACAGUCCUCCGAUAAAAUUGAAAUGUAGAGAAGAUUACCAUGGCCCAUGCACAAGGAUAACAUCCAUUGAAUCUAGAAAUAAUAAAAAUAUAA